UACGGGGGGGCAAGCGUUGUUCGGAAUUACUGGGCGUAAAGGGCUCGUAGGUGGCCAACUAAGUCAGACGUGAAAUCCCUCGGCUUAACCGGGGAACUGCGUCUGAUACUGGAUGGCUUGAGUUUGGGAGAGGGAUGCGGAAUUCCAGGUGUAGCGGUGAAAUGCGUAGAUAUCUGGAGGAACACCUAUGGCGAAGGCAGCUCUCUGGGACGGUACUGACGCUGAGACGCGAAAGCGUGGGGAGCGAACAGG
rnacentral:rRNA from 1 species